rnacentral:misc_RNA from 1 species
GUAGGUGAACCUGCGGAAGGAUCAUUAUUGAUUUCAAAUGGGAUGUGCUGACCCCCUCUAAGGGGGGUAAUGUGCACUCUCAACCUUUACAUCCACCUGUGCACUCACUGUAGGCAACAAGGGAUUACAGUUCCUGCCUAUGUUUUUUGUAACACUUUUAUACAUUAUGGAUUGUAGUCUGGCUUUUCAAGUCAAUAAAACUUAUACAACUUUCAACAAUGGAUCUCUUGGUUCUC